rnacentral:rRNA from 1 species
CCAGCAGCCGCGGUAAUACGUAGGGGCGAGCGUUAAUCGGAAUUACUGGGCGUAAAGCGUGCGCAGGCGGUUCUCCAAGUCCGUUGUGAAAGCCCCGGGCUCAACCUGGGAUGGCAGUGGAAACUAGGGGACUUGAAUCUGGCAGAGGGGGGUGGAAUUCCACGUGUAGCAGUGAAAUGCGUAGAGAUGUGGAGGAACACCGAUGGCGAAGGCAGCCCCCUGGGCUGAGAUUGACGCUCAGGCACGAAAGCGUGGGGAGCAAACAGGAUUAGAUACCCUGGUAGUCCCCCUAAUGUCAACUAGGUGUUGGGGAAGCGAUUUCUCAGUACCGCAGCUAACGCGUGAAGUUGACCGCCUGGGGAGUACGGUCGCAAGAUUAAAACUCAAAGGAAUUGACGGGGACCCGCACAAGCGGUGGAUGAUGUGGAUUAAUUCGAUGCAACGCGAAUAACCUCUACCCUUGACAUGUACGGAAGCCUGAGAUGGGGGUGUGCCCGAAAGGGAGCCGUAACACAGG